rnacentral:rRNA from 1 species
AAAGGGUCCGUAGGCGGUUUAAUAAGUCAGUGGUGAAAUCUGGUCGCUCAACGAUCAAACGGCCAUUGAUACUGUUAAACUUGAAUUAUAAGGAAGUAACUAGAAUAUGUAGUGUAGCGGUGAAAUGCUUAGAUAUUACAUGGAAUACCAAUUGCGAAGGCAGGUUACUACUUAUGGAUUGACGCUGAUGGACGAAAGCGUGGGGAGCGAACAGGAUUAGAUACCCUGGU